rnacentral:lncRNA from 10 species
CCUGACACCGUCCCACCUUCACCAGAAGCUGGAUCUCACUGCUUCAGAUGCUCAGAAAGCCCUUCAGUUAUCAGGAAAGGGCUGGACCAGGUCAUCCUUGCCAUCUCUCUACCCUGACCUCCCAAUUCCACAGUACAGGGCUCCUUACACCGAUUUCAGUUUAUUUUUAUCAGAGCAUGUUCCCUUACAGUCCCCAGGCUAACAUGCAGCCCCAAAAAAAGCACUAUUUGAUUCAGUGAACUGUUGACUGCCAGUCACUGAUCCGGAAGUGUCUGUUUCUAGAACUCAGUGUUUAGCCACUGCCACACCAUUCAGGGGCUGCUGCCCUCUUGUGGAAAUGAAGAAUACGACUGCUUAGAAAAGAAAUUAGAUGCAUUUGGAGGCUAUUGUCUGUACACACAUUCCCAUCUUACCUUCCCCUAAAAGCUUAACAUUUUAGUGUGAGCCCUAAGCUUAACUUUUUAGUGUGAGCCCUGAAGUUCCUAGCCUUCACACGUGUCUGAAAAACACUUACUAAGUUUUCUGGACGAGUUUUGCCACUAGCUCAGGAUACAAAGCUCUGUGACCCAUUAGUGACUGGAAGUGAUUUCUCAUUGUUUCCAAAUAUCAGUCACCCGCUCCUUGUUACCACUGCAGGGCUUCAUAUGGAGGAGGGGGCAGCUGGGGACACCACAAGGUUUGCCUGAGUGUGAGGCAGGUGUUCAACCCCAAACUGGAAAAAUGGCUUGAAAUAAAACUACAGUUGGUAGCUGAGUAAGGAACAUGACUGUUUCAUUUUAAAAAAACCCACUUCCUUCUUAAGUUUUCCCACAAAGGAUAAUUUUCCCUCAAGAACUGCCUUGCCAAGUAUUUCUUGUUGUAGUCUCUAAAUGCUAUUUUAAAUGUAGUCUGGGGAACUAUUUUCCGUUGGCUCCUAAUACUGAAUUAAGCUAACUUGCCCUUAUGAUAGUAACAAAAAAUUUCAAGAGCAGAGGAUGCUUUGUUGACCUCAGACGAUUUGUACCCUCACACUUGCUGAAAAUAAAACAUCUUAGCGAGGUAUUUAUGACAUUAGUCUGAAAACAUUUUUUCACUUACAUGAAAUCUUACACAAUGAAGUGGCAGUCAACUGCAAGAAUAAAUGCCGAAUGAGUCAUUUUAGUUAGCCUGACCUUUGAGGACACUUGGCUUCGUAGCAGGUCUUUUCAUUAGGUCUUAUUCUGGUAUAAAAAGGCUCCUUCAGAAAAUGUUUUCACUAAAAAAUAAGUUACAAACUAACAAGAGUGCUAUAUAACCAACAAUUCCUAAGUAUUAUGUAACAGUAAUAAGGCAAAUUCAUCUUAAAAAAGGUUUACUAGUAACAGUGGCCUGCUAUGGACCAGGCACUGUCCUAGUGUUUUACACACAAAAAUCUCCAGUCCUUACAACAACCCUAAAAGGCAUACAAGCAGACAAGCAGACUCGAAUUUGUUGAAUGAUUAAGCAAGGCCAUAUAGUACUGGUAGAAUCCGAAAGAGAACUCAGGUCUACCCAGUUCUUCUUAUGAUUAAGCUUUUUCCUCUCCAUCUCCUGAAAGCUGCCUUGAACUGGAGUGGGGAGAAAUGGGAGGCUCCAUGACAGCAUGCCCUGUGCUUUCACCAGGUUUCUAUAUAUACAGGACAUCCAUGUGAGAUUUUAUGUGAAACAGGUUUUGGCUUGCUUCAAGCUGUAUUUCACUAUUUAGCACCCUCUUUUGCUCACAGCAGAUGGGCUCUAGAGGUCCUGACUAGGCCUGAAAUGAGGAACGCUGGGGAGCACCUGUAGGAAUGCUCAGCCCUGGAUCAAACUACAGCAUGCUGUAAGGGACAGUACCAAAAAGAAUGACAAGGGCAGUGUGGAAGCCAUGUCCCUGCAACACAAGGGCUGGUUCCCAAUCCUGGUUAUGAUGCUCAGAGCUGUGAAUUGAAGAGAUGUGUGAUUACAUAUUUGCUUGUUGCUUUCCUCGUUAGAAGAUAGAGAGUCACUUUAGUUAAGGUCCAUUUAAUUUAACAUUUAUUUUCAUUUUAUAUCCAGAUGUCAC